GUCACAGGUGGCGCGGUAUCACGAGUGCCGCGCCGAAUGCGCAAUACCCAAGACGAAAAACGGUAGACAAG
rfam:Pseudomonas knackmussii B13 complete genome